GCACUGCCGUGUAGAUGGGAGGGCGCUGAGGAACAUUGUCAUUAAGAAAGCUGUACAUUAGAUAUUAAAUUAUAAUAGUCUUACUAUGAUGUAAAAUUUACGACAAGGGAAAACAUAAGGCGUCCCCUGUGGGUCAUCUGUUCUCACUGAAUACGUUAUACACAAGGUUUACUUAAAUUGUAUUUACGAAAGAUCCUGUAGAUAUUCAUUUUCGCUUUGAGUCACAGCAGAGGUCCUCAACAUUGGGUCACAGAAGAGGC